GGGUUGUGAGGUUAAGCGACUAAGCGUACACGGUGGAUGCCCUGGCAGUCAGAGGCGAUGAAGGGCGUGCUAAUCUGCGAUAAGCGCCGGUAAGGUGAUAUGAACCGUUAUAACCGGCGAUACCCGAAUGGGGAAACCCAGUGUGAUUCGUCACACUAUCAUUAACUGAAUCCAUAGGUUAAUGAGGCGAACCGGGGGAACUGAAACAUCUAAGUACCCCGAGGAAAAGAAAUCAACCGAGAUUCCCCCAGUAGCGGCGAGCGAACGGGGAGGAGCCCAGAGCCUGAAUCAGCAUGUGUGUUAGUGGAAGCGUCUGGAAAGGCGCGCGAUACAGGGUGACAGCCCCGUACACAAAAGCGCAUGUGCUGUGAGCUCGAUGAGUAGGGCGGGACACGUGGUAUCCUGUCUGAAUAUGGGGGGACCAUCCUCCAAGGCUAAAUACUCCUGACUGACCGAUAGUGAACCAGUACCGUGAGGGAAAGGCGAAAAGAACCCCGGCGAGGGGAGUGAAAAAGAACCUGAAACCGUGUACGUACAAGCAGUGGGAGCACAGGUUUACCUGUGUGACUGCGUACCUUUUGUAUAAUGGGUCAGCGACUUAUAUUCUGUAGCAAGGUUAACCGAAUAGGGGAGCCGGAGGGAAACCGAGUCUUAAUUGGGCGUUAAGUUGCAGGGUAUAGACCCGAAACCCGGUGAUCUAGCCAUGGGCAGGUUGAAGGUUGGGUAACACUAACUGGAGGACCGAACCGACUAAUGUUGAAAAAUUAGCGGAUGACCUGUGGCUGGGGGUGAAAGGCCAAUCAAACCGGGAGAUAGCUGGUUCUCCCCGAAAGCUAUUUAGGUAGCGCCUCGUGAAUUCAUCUCCGGGGGUAGAGCACUGUUUCGGCUAGGGGGCCAUCCCGGCUUACCAACCCGAUGCAAACUGCGAAUACCGGAGAAUGUUAUCACGGGAGACACACGGCGGGUGCUAACGUCCGUCGUGAAGAGGGAAACAACCCAGACCGCCAGCUAAGGUCCCAAAGUCAUGGUUAAGUGGGAAACGAUGUGGGAAGGCCCAGACAGCCAGGAUGUUGGCUUAGAAGCAGCCAUCAUUUAAAGAAAGCGUAAUAGCUCACUGGUCGAGUCGGCCUGCGCGGAAGAUGUAACGGGGCUAAACCAUGCACCGAAGCUGCGGCAGCGACACUGUGUGUUGUUGGGUAGGGGAGCGUUCUGUAAGCCUGUGAAGGUGGCCUGUGAGGGUUGCUGGAGGUAUCAGAAGUGCGAAUGCUGACAUAAGUAACGAUAAAGCGGGUGAAAAGCCCGCUCGCCGGAAGACCAAGGGUUCCUGUCCAACGUUAAUCGGGGCAGGGUGAGUCGACCCCUAAGGCGAGGCCGAAAGGCGUAGUCGAUGGGAAACGGGUUAAUAUUCCCGUACUUGGUGUUACUGCGAAGGGGGGACGGAGAAGGCUAUGUUGGCCGGGCGACGGUUGUCCCGGUUUAAGCGUGUAGGUGUGUGUUCCAGGUAAAUCCGGUUCACUUUAACACUGAGGCGUGACGACGAGGCACUACGGUGCUGAAGCAACAAAUGCCCUGCUUCCAGGAAAAGCCUCUAAGCAUCAGGUAACAUCAAAUCGUACCCCAAACCGACACAGGUGGUCAGGUAGAGAAUACCAAGGCGCUUGAGAGAACUCGGGUGAAGGAACUAGGCAAAAUGGUGCCGUAACUUCGGGAGAAGGCACGCUGACACGUAGGUGAAGUGAUUUACUCACGGAGCUGAAGUCAGUCGAAGAUACCAGCUGGCUGCAACUGUUUAUUAAAAACACAGCACUGUGCAAACACGAAAGUGGACGUAUACGGUGUGACGCCUGCCCGGUGCCGGAAGGUUAAUUGAUGGGGUCAGCGCAAGCGAAGCUCCUGAUCGAAGCCCCGGUAAACGGCGGCCGUAACUAUAACGGUCCUAAGGUAGCGAAAUUCCUUGUCGGGUAAGUUCCGACCUGCACGAAUGGCGUAAUGAUGGCCAGGCUGUCUCCACCCGAGACUCAGUGAAAUUGAACUCGCUGUGAAGAUGCAGUGUACCCGCGGCAAGACGGAAAGACCCCGUGAACCUUUACUAUAGCUUGACACUGAACAUUGAGCCUUGAUGUGUAGGAUAGGUGGGAGGCUUUGAAGUGUGGACGCCAGUCUGCAUGGAGCCGACCUUGAAAUACCACCCUUUAAUGUUUGAUGUUCUAACGUGGACCCGUAAUCCGGGUUGCGGACAGUGUCUGGUGGGUAGUUUGACUGGGGCGGUCUCCUCCUAAAGAGUAACGGAGGAGCACGAAGGUUGGCUAAUCCUGGUCGGACAUCAGGAGGUUAGUGCAAUGGCAUAAGCCAGCUUGACUGCGAGCGUGACGGCGCGAGCAGGUGCGAAAGCAGGUCAUAGUGAUCCGGUGGUUCUGAAUGGAAGGGCCAUCGCUCAACGGAUAAAAGGUACUCCGGGGAUAACAGGCUGAUACCGCCCAAGAGUUCAUAUCGACGGCGGUGUUUGGCACCUCGAUGUCGGCUCAUCACAUCCUGGGGCUGAAGUAGGUCCCAAGGGUAUGGCUGUUCGCCAUUUAAAGUGGUACGCGAGCUGGGUUUAGAACGUCGUGAGACAGUUCGGUCCCUAUCUGCCGUGGGCGCUGGAGAACUGAGGGGGGCUGCUCCUAGUACGAGAGGACCGGAGUGGACGCAUCACUGGUGUUCGGGUUGUCAUGCCAAUGGCACUGCCCGGUAGCUAAAUGCGGAAGAGAUAAGUGCUGAAAGCAUCUAAGCACGAAACUUGCCCCGAGAUGAGUUCUCCCUGAGACUUUAAGUCUCCUGAAGGAACGUUGAAGACGACGACGUUGAUAGGCCGGGUGUGUAAGCGCAGCGAUGCGUUGAGCUAACCGGUACUAAUGAACCGUGAGGCUUAACCUUACAACGCCGAAG
rnacentral:rRNA from 1 species